rnacentral:rRNA from 1 species
CAGCCGCCGCGGGAAUACGUAGGGUGCGAGCGUUAAUCGGAAUUACUGGGCGUAAAGCGUGCGCAGGCGGUUAUAUAAGACAGAUGUGAAAUCCCCGGGCUCAACCUGGGACCUGCAUUUGUGACUGUAUAGCUAGAGUACGGUAGAGGGGAAUGGAAUUCCGCGUGUAGCAGUGAAAUGCGUAGAUAUGCGGAGGAACACCGAUGGCGAAGGCAACCCCCUGGACCUGUACUGACGCUCAUGCACGAAAGCGUGGGGAGCAAACAGGAUUAGAUACCCCUGUAGUCCCUGUCUCUUAUAC